GGAGCACUUUUCCGUCCAUGAUUUUUGAGGGCCGGCGGGAGGCUGUAGGUCCGAGGGCUGCUGGCCACGCAGCUCACUGAUCGAGACCGCGGGCCAGCCCUGCCCUGGGCACCUCCGCUCGCCAUCCCGAGUCUAAAGGAAGUGAUGCCCUCCCGGGGCAGGAUUUUAAGUUCAGCUGCUCCUGCCUUUUGGCUGCGGGGAUGACGACACUUACGGUCCCCGGAGACUGAGAGGCCCUCCUCCAGGGAAGCCUGGAUGGCCACUUGGGGAGCAAGCCCACCACACCACCCUGAGCCCUGUGCCAACCAAAGAUUCGGGGAGAAUGUUCUCCUGUCCACAGGAGAAAGGACGGCAAGCCAAGGCCCAUCCACGCCGCGAACUCCACGCGUGACACCACAGAGCACGUGUGAGCUCCACACACAUCGUGCCGAGUGAAAGACGCCAGACUCGCACGUGCUGCGUGGUUCCGUCCGCGGACGCUCACGGGUGGGAAAGCUGAUCGGUGGCGGAGCUGCCCAUAGAGGGCGCCAGGCACAAGAGGGGACCCCAGCCCCACAACAGCCAGGAUCUGAACCCCACCAAGAACCA